GAUGAACGCUGGCGGCGUGCCUAACACAUGCAAGUCGAGCGAGGGUUUGCUCAGUAUUGAGUAUUCUAAAACUAGAAUGUUCAAUUCUGAGCAAAACCAAGCGGCGGACGGGUGAGUAACGCGUGGGUAACCUGCCCUAUACACAUGGAUAACAUACUGAAAAGUUUACUAAUACAUGAUAAUAUAUAUUUGCGGCAUCGCAGAUAUAUCAAAGUGUUAGCGGUAUAGGAUGGACCCGCGUCUGAUUAGCUAGUUGGUGAGAUAACUGCCCACCAAGGCGACGAUCAGUAGCCGACCUGAGAGGGUGAUCGGCCACAUUGGAACUGAGACACGGUCCAAACUCCUACGGGAGGCAGCAGUGGGGAAUAUUGCACAAUGGGCGAAAGCCUGAUGCAGCAACGCCGCGUGAACGAUGAAGGUCUUCGGAUCGUAAAGUUCUGUUGCAGGGGAAGAUAAUGACGGUACCCUGUGAGGAAGCCCCGG
rnacentral:rRNA from 1 species